ACAGCAGCACGCGGGGGACUCUCCUGUGACUCAGCGCCUCCGGAGGCCGGACAGGCCCCGCCCACGAGAAGAUGACCGGUAAGGGGAUCUUAAGCCUUGACUUCGUGUCAUCAGCACCACACUCUCCCAAGUGAGCCACGGGCCAGCCCACAUUUUGGCUGUUAUGAAUAAAGCUGCUAUGAAGAGUCAUGUACAAGUCUUCGUGUGGACACAUGUUGUCAUUUCUCUCAGAUCCUGCUUUUGUUGUUGU